CUGACGCUUCCGUGACCGCGUUUCUCUCCGACUCCGGCAUCGACGAGGUCGCCAUCUUAUUUUGCCUGCUGCGGAGGGACCCAUCGGCUUAGCUUGAGCCGGAACUACUUCCUACGGCGACCUGGGGAAAGACCGGUUUCCAGUGUGCCGGAAGGUGUCCCUGAGGCCACAAAGUCAUAGUUUCAGGCAUCCACUGGGAGGAGUCUUGGAACUACCCCGCGUGGCUAAGGGGGGGCACCUGCUGUCUAUGUUACACUAAUCAAGUUGGAGGUCAGGACAUCGUCCACAGCCCUCCUCUGCUCAGUGUAGAUGGUGUAGAUGUACUUGACAGUUUGCAGCCCUUCAGAAAGGAGCAGGUUUUGGCAGGGGGAAUAGAGCAUGAGGCCUCUGGACGGACUUGGCUCCCUCUUCUCCUCCUCCCCCCAUCUGGCAGGAUCAGGCCCCCCAGAGCAGCCCUGGAGAGUUGGGUCAACAAUGGCAUAAUGACAGGUGGGGAAACUGAAGCCCAGAGAGAAAAGCUGAGUGGCUCAAAAUCCCACUACAAGUUUCCUAGUGUAAUGCAGAGGACUGCGAUUCCAGCCAGAUCGCCUGCAGCAGAUAGUCAUCAUACAAGCAAAUGUUUAUUGUGCUCUUACCAAGUACCAGGUACUGCAGUAGGUCCUUUACAUGCAUUUCUAAACUAAUCAUCACAAGUAGAGAUCCUCCUAGGUAUUCUCAAGAUUUCCAUGUUACAGACAAAGUAACAGAAGCUCAAGAGAAAUGAAAUGGCUUGUCUGAGGUCAUGCAUUUGCUGGCCAGCAGAUCUGGGGUUCAAACCCUGGUGUCCUGACUCCCAGUCCCAUGCUUCUGCCUUUGUGCUAGAUGCCACAGGGGGGCAGCAGAGCGGAGAGUAGGCAGUCGGCAGGUGGGUGCUCUGGGACUCAUCUCUACCUUCUCUCACCCUGCCACUGCCAUCUAUGAGUUUAGCUAAACCUGUGCUUAAAACUGUACCACCGCUUGGGAUAAUGAGCCGCAUAAGUUGACUCCCCAUGGUGUAAAUUAAAGCUUCCUUUAAUUUCUCCUAAA